AUUGAACGCUGGCGGAAUGCUUUACACAUGCAAGUCGAACGGUAGAGGGGGCAACCCCUCGAGAGUGGCGAACGGGUGAGUAAUAUAUCGGAACGUGCCCAGUCGUGGGGGAUAACGUAGCGAAAGUUACGCUAAUACCGCAUACGAUCUAAGGAUGAAAACGGGGGAUCGCAAGACCUCGCGCGAUUGGAGCGGCCGAUAUCAGGUUAGGUAGUUGGUGGGGUAAAGGCUAACCAAGCCAACGAUCUGUAGCUGGUCUGAGAGGACGACCAGCCACCGUGGACCUGAGACACGGUCAAGACUCCGACGGGAGGCAGCGGUGGGGAAUUUUGGAGGAUGGACGGAAGGCUGAUCCAGGAAGUCCGCGGGCAGGAUGAAGGCCCUCGGGUUGUAAACUGCUUUUGUACGGAACGAAAAGGUCUCUCUUAAUACGGGGGACUCAUGACGGUACCGUAAGAAUAAGCACCGGCUAACUACGUGCCAGCCGCCGCCGUAA
rnacentral:rRNA from 1 species